rnacentral:misc_RNA from 1 species
UUGGAAAAUAAUAUACAUAAUAAAUAAAGCCUAACGGAUAAAUUUUGCACGAAGCUUUGACUUUUUAACUACACUAUUGGAAACUGUAAAUAUCCGACGAUCUAGAAUUCCUCACUGCGCCGAUCCUUGAAUAUCCAGGAUAUCGGAGUGUCUCAUUUUUGUCUCUUUCACUUUCUGUAUAAAGUACAGAAGUCUUCCAGCGGUUACAAUGCGGCCAAAUAAUUUGCCAUGAGUUCCUGAGCAUCGUUUAAUAAAUCGUCGAGCUUCGUAAACGCCGGAUGUCAGUGGAAAUCAAAGUAUCGAUUCAUCAGAGCGACAGAUUGAAAGCUCCUGCGAUCGUCAGGACGCUCGAUAACCACGAGAGAUCCGAACAAUGGCCAGCGAAAGGAUAUCGGGACAGCACAGAACAUCGUUACCAGUUCCGGGCCACUCCGAAGUAAAUCUCUGCUCAGUGCUGUCGCUGGGCAAGGAUCUCAGCAAGAUCACCAUGCCAGUCAUCUUCAAUGAGCCGCUCUCCUUCCUGCAACGCGUUGCAGAAUACAUGGAAUAUGCUAAAUUGCUGAAGCUGGCGUCGCAAGAGGAGUCGCCGGUCUCGAGGCUUCAGUACGUUGCGGCUUUUGCUGUGAGUGCUCUCGCCUCGAACUGGGAACGUCUCGGAAAACCCUUCAAUCCAAUUUUAGGAGAGACAUACGAGCUGCAACGCGAGGACUUUCGAAUAAUAUGCGAGCAAGUAUCGCAUCAUCCUCCAGUUUCCGCAUUUUACGCCGACAAUGAAGAUUUCAUUUUUCAUGGCAGCAUCCACCCUAAAUUGAAAUUCUGGGGAAAAUCGAUAGAAGUGCACCCCAAGGGGGUUGUCACGGUAGAGUUACCCAAGUGGAAAGAGGCUUACACCUGGCAAAAUGUCAAUUGUAUCCUGCACAACGUGCUAGUGGGCCAAUUAUGGAUGGAACAAUUGGGUGCCUUGGAUAUCAGACAGUUCGGAGGAGACAAUCUGAAAGCUACGCUGGCGUUUAAAAGCGGCACGUGGAACGGCAAGGAUCUUCAUCGCGUCGAGGGCUUCAUAACGGAUCAGGAAAAAAGGAAGCUACUUUUCCUCUACGGCAAGUGGACCGAAAGACUACGAUCCUGCGAGCCCUUGUUCUACGAGGAAGCGCUGGAGAAAAUCAAGAGGGAGGCCAAAAGUCCGCAAGGCAGCCCGGGCCACAAGAAAGUCCUAGCGAAGCUCCACAGUCUCAAGGUCGGAGCUUUCAAGCCCUUGCAUCAGGACACGAUAGACGAGUCCUCGGCAAGUAUGGACGGUGAUGAGACGCCCGUCGUGGACGAGAUUCCAGGAUCCACCACACUGUGGGAAGCCACACCGAGGCCCAGCAACAGUUCGGACUACUUUCAAUUCACAACGUUUGCGAUGUCGCUAAACGAACUGGAUCCUGACAUGGAGAAGACUUUAUGCCCGACUGACUCCAGACUGAGGCCGGAUAUUCGAAAGUUGGAGAUGGGUGAUCAGGAUGGAGCUGCAGCUGAGAAAAUCAGACUCGAGGAGAAACAGAGGGACACCCGCAAGGCUCGCAAACAUAAGAAAGGACACGAGUAUGCUCCCAGAUGGUUCCAGUCCGGCACGAAUCCAUACACGGGCCAGGAAGACUGGCUAUAUCAGGGCGGAUAUUGGGACCGUAAUUAUUCCGACGUUGAUGACAUAUUUUAAUGAAGACAGAGCUCGUUAGCUUCCAUUAAAUGUCCGUUGGCCGUGUGAAUCGAUAAUAUCGAAACGCGUACGGACAGGUACGGACAUGGACAAGAGAAGGACAGAAAGGAUGCAAUAAGUAUUUGCCGUACAUUGGUAUCAGGACAAGAUGCGUUCGCGAAUAAUAAAUGAGGAUUUUGAAUACGCGUUUUGGCACAAACGAUCAUCUUAAAUAUGUCAAAAACCAAAAAAAGAAAAUUACAUAAAUAAAAUACACACAAAGCACAUACCGAUAUGUUUGUCGUGAAGUUUGUCGUAUCUGAAUAUAUCGAUUGAUAUGUACGUAAAAUAUACACUGACACGCUCACAAAUGCAUAUUUGGAAUUGUUCGUCUGUUAUUCGCGCACGCGCGAAUACAUGUCUUGACCAACACUGUCGGACACACGCGUUGCUUCCUCCGGAUCAACUAGACAUAUCCUUUGCGCGCUAGAAAGAGACGCUUCGUAGGGAAUAAUCCGAUUUAAAAUUAAAUGCGUCGACGCGUAUCGUGUAUGCGUUUGUGUGACACGCUUAAUUUAGGAAGAACGACAAUAAUUCUGUUGAGGUUCUCGAAAAACAAAAGUAACAAUUUGAGAAACGUCGAUGACGACAAAAAAGAAAACAAAAAGAGGAGGAAGAACACCUGUACUCUAGACGGCGAUACGCAGCUGGACGAAACACCUGAAACAGACAGACGUCGGAAAUGCCUCUGACACUUGCUUCGUUUGUCUCAUCGUUUUUCUUUCGAAUUCUCAUCACAGAUGACAAUUUGUACCAUUAUAAUUUGCAUGUUUUCAUUGUACUCCACGUAUACGACGUUCUUCGUUGUCUCUUCGAGUCCAAGAGAGAUGUCUAAUCCAUUUCUAACGACAAUCUCAUAGUUUUUCUUUCCUCGAAAAGUACGUUGGAAUAUACUUGCCAUCACGUGAUAAACGUAUCCUGUGACAUCAAUUAUAUAUCGAAGGCAGCGGACUGAAAAGACCGGAUAAAGACACAGGCGGGAAGUAUUAGGUUUCCCCUCUCGCAGAAACUUUGAAGUCACCUUGAAGUGGGGAAAGGCGCUAAAGUUCAGACUGUGCAUGAAUUCGGUCUGCCGACGUAUAUACUGUUGUUGCUGUUGUAAGUCCUUCAAGCAGGCGAUAAUGCAUGGCUGAUAAAUGGAAACAUGCAGUUCUUCCGUGUACGACGGUAUUGCUUCGCUGUGAACGAUAUGCGUACACAUGUGUUGGUGUGUAUGUGUCAUAUAUAGGA